UACAGAGGUGGCAAGCGUUGUUCGGAAUUACUGGGCGUAAAGGGCGCGUAGGCGGCCUUCUAAGUCAGACGUGAAAUCCCCCGGCUUAACCUGGGAACUGCGUCUGAUACUGGAAGACUUGAGUUCGGGAGAGGGAAGCGGAAUUCCGGGUGUAGCGGUGAAAUGCGUAGAUAUCCGGAGGAACACCGGUGGCGAAGGCGGCUUCCUGGACCGACACUGACGCUGAGGCGCGAAAGCUAGGGGAGCAAACGGG
rnacentral:rRNA from 1 species